CUUUAAUUCUCUUCUGACAUCAUGGAAUUCUAUUUCUGGCGGUUUCUAUGGCUGACGCCAUUUCCUCGUUUUUAGGAACAAGGAGCGAUCAGAAGACAGGAUCAGAGAGGCCCUUGAGCAGUGCCUAGCACUUGAUUUCCAGGCCGGCAUUCUUUCUACCAGCUGUAGUUUUUGAAAAGGGGUUAGUCUCUCAUCUCGAGAGGUCCCUGAAUCAGACAGAAAGAAACUAUCACUUCCCGGGAACCCAUUGAUUUACAGUGAACCUCGUGUGGGGACUUCACAGUGGCUGAAAAGGCAAGGAGAAGAUGGAGACCCGCUCACAACACAAGGCAAAAAAGUCUGGAGCGACAGCUGCCACCUAAGGAAUCCCGAGAAGUUGCUGAUUGCUCCCGGCUUCAGUUCUUUCUGCGCUUCAGUCCCGGUGCCGCCUCCUCUGAAGCCUGGUGGGUUCUGCCCGAGGCCAGUGCCAGGGCCCCAGCGUUGAAAGAGCCCGAAGCAGGAAGGCGGAGGAGUCGCGCCGCCCAGCGGAGAACCCGCCAAAGCACAGACUCUUAGUCACCAUCAUGAAUAUUGGUCAUCACUCCUUGGCACAUUGGACUGUACAGGUGGCUCCACCGAGAUGGCCUUCCAACCACUGUCUGCGAUGGGAUCUUCCCAAUCCAGGGAUUGCACCCAUGUCUCCUACACUUGCAGACAGUCUCAUUACGGAAGCGGAUCCGGAAGAAAGUGGGCCAGGGUCUUUAGUAAGUACAGAGCUCCGUACUCGUCCCUCCUGGUUCUACCACCAAGACGGAGUGGGGAUGUUCCAGGCGUAGACCUGAUGGCAUCCCUACCUGAGGUCCAGCUCCUCACCAUUAAUCUUGCUUGCCUCUGAUGCCACCCGGGGUGCAAUCAGAGUAACCUUCCGGAAUGCCUCCCAAGCUAAGACUGCUGCGGGAAACAUUUGUCACCUGAGUGCCUGUGCAUGACCCUGAGUAUAUUCCUGACCACAAUAAAGACUGAU
ensembl:lncRNA